rnacentral:snoRNA from 1 species
AAGGCUGUACUUUCAGGGGUCAUUUCUAUAGUAUGUUACUAGAGAAGUUUUUCUGAUCGUGUAGAGUACCAAAUGCCACGAGGAGGAGGCGACGUAGUGUUCCUUGCAGAGCAGGAAGCCAGCUUGUGGUGUUGCUUUGCUACAGCUGCCACUUGCCGUUGAUGAUCAGUCUUGCUUUCACCUUGGAGGGAGCAAGAGGGGAGGAACGCAGUCAGAGUGGU